rnacentral:lncRNA from 1 species
AGUUCAAAGAAAAUAAAGGAAAGAGAAAACAGAGGAUGUAAAAAUCAUACGUAGAUACAAGUUUUCACAAGGAGAGAGAAAAGGUGGCGAUCCCACACCCAAUUUUGCUUAGAGGACGAAAAGGAUAUCCGUUCCUGAUGACAAGGGCAUGAAACUAUAGAAACAGGGAAGAGGAAGCGACAUAGAAAACAGGAUGGGCCAUGGAAUACGAAGAGAUCACUCGGAGAAAUGGGAAGGCCAAACAAGAAGACGUAAUCUACGAAGUCCAAGGCAAGAGAAGAGAACAAGAACGGAUCCCUCGUUCAUCUCCUGAAACAUGCAGCCGUCAAAUACUUGGAAACAGGCAUCGGAAUGAAAGAGAAACGACAAAAGAUCCACCGAAAACCAACUACAAAAUAAACGCAAGAAGCAUCAAGAAAGGAAACCCGCAGCAGUUACAACCAGCUGGCCUCAUGUAAAUCUUAUAUGUCAGGCAAUGAUCGUUCCAAAUCCAUACUAAAUGGACACCCAAACAAGGGAAGAACGCCAUACAUAAAUGAGGUUCUUGGAAGGAACAAGUUGUUCCAUUUGUAGUCAUCAACUUAGAAGAGCCAGAACUCAGGCACGCACACGGCGUGAAAGUUAAGGCCUUUGGAACAUGUAAAGCGCGCGAUAACUUGAAUGACGAAUGAAAAGAAAGGUUUGUCGACCUGAUGCGGAGAAGUCGGCGAGCGCAAAAUAAACGCAAAGAAGCAUCAAGAAAGGAAACCGGCAGCAGUUGCAACCAACUGGCCUCAUGUAAAUCUUCUAUGUCAGGCAAUGAUCGUUCCGAAUCCAUACUAAAUGGACACCCAAACAAGGGAAGAACGCCAUACAUAAAUGAGGUUCUUGGAAGGAACAAGCUGUUCCAUUUGUAGUCAUCAACUUAAUAGAGCCAGAACUCAGGCACGCACACGGCGUGAAAGUUAAGGCCUUUGGAACAUGUAAAGCUCGC